rnacentral:rRNA from 1 species
CCUACGGGAGACAGCAGUCGAGAAUCAUUCACAAUGGGGGAAACCCUGAUGGUGCGACGCCGCGUGGGGGAAUGAAGGUCUUCGGAUUGUAAACCCCUGUCAUGUGGGAGCAAAUUAAAAAGAUAGUACCACAAGAGGAAGAGACGGCUAACUCUGUGCCAGCAGCCGCUGUAAUACAGAGGUCUCAAGCGUUGUUCGGAAUCACUGGGCGUAACGCGUGCGUAGGCUGUUUAGUAAGUCGUGUGUGAAAGGCGCGGGCUCAACCCUCGGACGGCACAUGAUACUGCGAGACUAGAGUAAUGGAGGGGGAACCGGAAUUCUCGGUGUAGCAGUGAAAUGCGUAGAUAUCGAGAGGAACACUCGUGGCGAAGGCGGGUUCCUGGACAUUAACUGACGCUGAGGCACGAAGGCCAGGGGAGCGAAAGGGAUUAGAUACCCGAGUAGUC